UUAGCGGCGGACGGGUGAGUAACACGUGGAUAACCUACCUAUAAGACUGGGAUAACUUCGGGAAACCGGAGCUAAUACCGGAUAAUAUUUUGAACCGCAUGGUUCAAAAGUGAAAGACGGUCUUGCUGUCACUUAUAGAUGGAUCCGCGCUGCAUUAGCUAGUUGGUAAGGUAACGGCUUACCAAGGCAACGAUGCAUAGCCGACCUGAGAGGGUGAUCGGCCACACUGGAACUGAGACACGGUCCAGACUCCUACGGGAGGCAGCAGUAGGGAAUCUUCCGCAAUGGGCGAAAGCCUGACGGAGCAACGCCGCGUGAGUGAUGAAGGUCUUCGGAUCGUAAAACUCUGUUAUUAGGGAAGAACAUAUGUGUAAGUAACUGUGCACAUCUUGACGGUACCUAAUCAGAAAGCCACGGCUAACUACGUGCCAGCAGCCGCGGUAAUACGUAGGUGGCAAGCGUUAUCCGGAAUUAUUGGGCGUAAAGCGCGC
rnacentral:rRNA from 1 species